ensembl:lncRNA
GUAAAGGACCCUAGAUCCCCUGCUAGUAUCAAAGAACUGAAACUCACUUGCAUAUCUAUCCAGACAAUGGGACACCAGGCCCCUCAUAAAUUAUGAUUGCUUACUUAGGUCUCCUGAGUUCCUGUUUUUCUACACAUUGUUACAUUUUUUCCCUGCUAUGUAAACUCAUAAUUUUACUUGGUCAGGAAGAUAGAUUUGAGACUGAUUUCCCAUCUCCUCUGUUACAGCAUCCAAUUCAACCUUCUUCCUUGGCAAUAAUUGGUGAUAUUGAUUGGUUUUUUUGUGCGGUGAGCAACAGGACCUAGACCAUACUCCUGGUGUUUCAGUAACAGGUUUUGGUUCCCGACCAGGAACACUUUGGCUUGGCUGCCAUGGCCUGGGAGUCUCAAAGUCUCCUAAGCAGCUGCUUACCCAGCUUGGCUGGAGAUUAGUUUCCAAUCUCUAGGGCCAGCUGCAGUUGCUUCAACCAUGUUCCUGAUUGCCUUGGAAGAACUACGUUGGAAAUUUGAUAUCUGCAUCCAGCUGGUGUCAGAAGCAGGAUCUGAAGUGGAGCUUCCAGUAUCCCCAGGAGCGCUACGUGAACACGGAAGGUAUCUGCAGGAUCCACUUGUGUGCGCUGAUCUCUCAGAGUGGCUGAGGAUCAUAAUUAAGCUCCCUCUCGCAUUUUGGAGCUUCACAUAUUUAUGUUUCGAGCUCUCUGAGUUUCCUUCAGCAAAUUUGUGAUCCCAACUGGGUUUGGAGUUGUCACAGAAAAUGGACUGGGUCUAGGAAUGAAUUUGAUCUGGGAAUUAACUGGCUUGGAUCCACUUAGAGGCCUCUAACAGCUGACUAGGUCAGAAAAGAACUGGUAGUAAGCAGUAAUGUUGCAGGAGUUAUAAAAUUUGGCUUUUCAAAAUUCACAGGGAUUUUUGUGUUCUAUUCCUUUGUUUCAUUUCUUUUGUGCACCUGGGUAGGAAAAAUCAUUGGCUAAGUUAAUCAAGAGAACCUGAGAGUAAAGCCUGUAUUUUAGGUAAAAAUAGAAUCCUUAAUUUCUGGAAAACUGAGUUCCUUCUAGCUUAUACAUUAGGCCUGGGAGGCGGCCAAGUCUUACAGAAAUGGCAAAAUCUUACUAAAGAUGACUUAGAGUGGAACGUUCCAAAUGAACAACAAUGCAUUGAAGUACAUUUAAAAAUGAGGGCUCUCAGUAAAGUCCCUUUUGGCUAAGAAUGGGUUUGGCACUAUGGGAUGUCAACCGUUACUCUCUUUGGAAUAAUCUGCUUUGCACUCUUUAUUGACGGCUGUGGGUGACAGGAUUAGGCAUGCACAGAAUCAUUGGACAUGGGGAGCUUCUUUCUUUCCCCUAACACAGGGGAAACUUGGUAGCUGAUGGGACUGCUGGGGAAAAAAAAGCAGAAAGAAGAAAAAUAGCAUUUAUUCUGUUUUCAUAAUUCUCAUCUUUAACUAUGGUUCCAGUAUCUUCCAUUUUUUUUCAGUCUUGCAUAAAAAAGAAACAUGUCAAUGGUACAAAAGAAAAUUCUGAAAUAAGAUAUAAAUCACACAUUCUUUCACCACCCCAAAACAAUUUUCAUGUUUAUUUGUUCCCUUCAAAUCCUUGUCCACAUGCAUACAUAUUUUGGGCAGAUAAAUCAAGUUAUGUAUUUUGCAUUUUUACCUAUUAUUCAUUAUAAUUGCUUUUUUAUAGUCUUCACAGUGACUAUGGACUGUGUGCGACUCAUAUUUACUAACUGUCAUUCACAAAUUUAUUAUUUCUCUUCACUGGACUUUAAACUUAUUUUCCAUAUAUAAUAGAAAAUUUUUCCAGCGAAGGAAUGAAAUUCUGACACAUAACACAACAUAGGUGAACCUUGAAAACAUUAUGCUAAGUGAAAUCAGCCAGACCCCAAAGAACAAAUAUCACAGGAUUCUAUUUAUAUGAAGUACCCAGAACAGGCAAAUUCCUAGAGACAUAAAGUAAAAUCAAAGUUACCAGGGGCUAGUGAUGGAGGGAAUGAGUAAUUGUGUUUUAAUGGGUAUAGUUUCUGUUUGAGAUGACAAAAACGUUCUCGAAAUGGAUAGUGGUGAUGCUCGUAGAGCACUGUAAAUGUACAUAAUGCUGCUGCGUUGUACGCUUAAAAAUGGUGAAACGAUUAGCUUUGUGUUAUGUGUACUUUACAACAAUUUUUUAAAAGAGUGUGGGGAGGGAUCUACCAGGUUUUUAGCAGCUUUCUGAUUUAGAAAACAAAUGUUGAUGGUAAGAAUACAGGAAGAGAACAAUUUUAUUUUGGUAGAUUUUAGAAGCUGAGACCAGGGUGGGGUCAUAAGAGCAAUAUUAAGUAUGAGGCGGAGGAGGCCCUGAACUAAGAUCAUUGCAAGGGGAUGGAGUAGGGAAUGGAUAGGAGAGGUAUUUUGGAGAAAGAUGUGGCAGCUGAUAAAUGUGGGGGCUGUUCUCAUGUGUCAGCCAAGGCUACAAUGUUCUCAAGGUGAAUGGAACACAAGCUUUUUUGCGGGAAGUGAUAUAGCGUGGUAGAUCUGAAAUUAAAACUUCUAACAUCUUGACCAGAACUUCAAAAUAGAAAAUUUUGAAGUUCAUUUUUGAAGUUCCUGUCGAGAACUUCAGAAUAGAAAAUUUUGAAGUUCAUUUUAAGUUAAAUGAGGUGAGAAACAGAGCAAAGAAAGCUCUUGGAGAUGGGGAAAAAGACCUUUUUUUUUUUUUUUUUGACAACUACAAAAACAGCAGAGUCAGACAGGGGAUAGGCUCAUGACAGAGAUCCAGUUCUAUUUACUAAAAGUUCCUUGAGUGUUCAAACAUUCUGAAAUUCUGAGACCUUGCAAAAGGAUGUUUUUGUUUAAAUAUUGUUUCAUCUAGCUACAGAACAUAGUUGAAUUUUGAGGCCUUUGACCUUAGACAAGACAAAAUAUGUUUCACCUUGCCUAUGACUUAACACAUAUUUGUUAACUAUUUAACCUUCAUGGAUAAAAAAUUUCAAACUUCUGUGUUAACUAAUUUGCUAACGAUUGUUUCAAGUAUCUGAUCCAUGAGUUCCUUCUCUUACAUUAAUUAAGUUUGUUGUAAGUUUUUCACAUUUCUAAUUAUUUUUACAUCAUUGCAUAUAACAGCUAAAUCUCUAUAUGACAUGUUGAUUAUUAUAAAAUGAAUUUAAAAACUAACAUAUGUUAAAUAUUAUUGUUACUUUAUGCCAGGCAUAAUGCUAUGUAUUUUAUAUGUAUUACAUUGUGUAAUCUCAAUCCUCUGGAAAACAUGCAUUCUAAUUUCCAGUUCCAAAGUGUUGAGAAAACACUUUGAGGUUCUGAUUGGUUAAGCAACUUAACAAAGAAGUAGGAGACAGAACUAAAAUUUGAAAGCAGCCUAAGUUGAACCUAUCAGUUGUGAUGAUAACCUUCUCCAAGUUAUUGUUAAAUUAUUGGAACAUUCCUAAGAAUGCUGAAUGUUAUUUCAAAGAAAAAUUAUAGAUAUGUGUCAAAAAUUUUUACCUUUUUAAAAAAAUUUUUGUAAUGUAACUAUGACAACUUCCAAAAUGGCCAUUGGUCUGCAAUAUUUGGCUCAAAGAAACUAAAGAAAAUCUGUGCCAUCUACUGCUCUGAGUUUUCCAGUCACAACUGUUCUCAGAGGGCUGACAUUUUCUAUUCCAGAUGAAAGAAGACUUCUCAGGCAUCUGAUGACCAAAAUACAGAGAAAAAAGUUAUGAUGUUGGUGGGUGAGUGUUCUGCUACAGGCAUUUGAGAACCUCACAUAACUCUUAAUCUUCACCUUUAAUUCAUUCCACCAGGGAGGAAGAGCAUGGGUUUUGGAGCCAUUCGUAUGUGGUUUUAAAAUUUGACUUUGGCAUUUAUCUCUGUAAGAACUUGAGAAAUUUACUUAGUCUCUCUGAGCUUUGGUAUAUUCAGAAUGAAGAUGACACUAACAGUACCUACAUCAUGAGUGUUACUUAAAUGGAGAUGUAUAAAGUGCAUUUUAAAUUCAUUUGGUCCCUUAACAUUUUUCCUUCACUUCUUAUCUUUUCAGAGUUUCUUCUUGAAGGGCUCAA